UACGUAGGGGGCAAGCGUUGUCCGGAAUCAUUGGGCGUAAAGAGCGUGUAGGCGGCUCGAUAAGCCUGCUGUGAAAGUCCAGGGCUCAACCCUGGAAGGCCGGUGGAAACUGUCGGGCUAGAGUCCGGAAGAGGCGAGUGGAAUCCCGGUGUAGCGGUGAAAUGCGCAGAUAUCGGGAAGAACACCCGUGGCGAAGGCGGCUCUCUGGGACGGUACUGACGCUGAGACGCGAAAGCGUGGGGAGCGAACAGG
rnacentral:rRNA from 1 species